CUAAUAACACAAGGUCUUGGUCUUAAACCUCUCAUUGUCUAAACCCCAUAAUUAUACAUGCAAGCCUCAACAUAACAGUGAAAUAGCCCACUAUAAUUUACCCAGCGGAGCCGGUAUCAGGUCAACCACCCAUGACACCAAGCAGCAUAAGCCACACCCCCACGGGCAAGCAGCAGUACUUAAUAUUAGGCCAUAAGCGCAAGCUUGACCUAAUAAUGGUGUUCCAAAGGCCGGUUAAUCUCGUGCCAGCGACCGCGGUUACACGACAGACCUAAGACAAUGAUAUCGGCGUAAAGCACGACUAAAAUUAAAGUCUAUCUAUUAGGAAUAAAAAUAAACUAGGUCGUAAAAAACCAUAAGCAAUACUAAACACAUAACCCUAAUAAUAAGACAACUUCAACUCGUGAAAGCCAGGACACAAACUAAGAUUAGAUACCUUACUAUGCCUGGCAGUAACCAAACAAUUAAAUAACUAACUGUUCGCCAAAUAACUACGAGUAAAAACUUAAAAUUUAAAAGACUUGACGGUACUUCAUAUCAACCUAGAGGAGCCUGUCUAAUAACCGAUAAUCCACGAUUAACCCUACCUACUCUAGCCCAACAGUCUAUAUACCGCCGUCGCCAGCCUACCUUGUGAAAGAAACAAAGUAAGCCUAAUAAUAACCCAUUAAUACGACAGGUCGAGGUGUAACUAAUGAGCAGGACCAAGAUGGGCUACAUUUUCUAAACCAGAAAAAACGAACAGACUAUGAAACUAGAAACUGAAGGCGGAUUUAGCAGUAAGCUGAGGAUAAACAACCCAACCGAAACACAACGCAAUGAAGUGCGCACACACCGCCCGUCAUCCCUGUAAAACACUUAACCUAUUCAUAAACAACUAUCGUUCCACUAAAUCAGGGCAAGUCGUAACAUGGUAAGCGUACUGGAAAGUGUGCUUAG
rnacentral:ncRNA from 1 species